ensembl:snRNA U1 U1 spliceosomal RNA
AUACUUACCUAGCAGGGGAGAUACCAUGAUCACCUAGGAGGUUUUCCCCAGGGCGAGGCUUAUCCAUUGUAUUCCAAAUGUGCCGACCCCUGCUAUUUCCCCAAAUGUGGGAAACUCCACCACAUAAUUUGUGGUAGUGGGAACAGUGUUCCCACUCUCCCCU